rnacentral:rRNA from 1 species
UACGGAGGAUGCAAGCGUUAUCCGGAAUUAUUGGGCGUAAAGCGUCCGCAGGUGGUUUAUCAAGUCUGCUGUCAAAGCGCGAGGCUUAACUUCGUAAAGGCAGUGGAAACUGAUAGACUGGAGUGCGGUAGGGGCAGAGGGAAUUCCCAGUGUAGCGGUGAAAUGCGUAGAUAUUGGGAAGAACACCGGUGGCGAAGGCACUCUACUGGGCCAUGACUGACACUAAGAGACGAAAGCUAGGGGAGCAAAUGGG